CGGGCUGGAGCCGAGCACUACAGUGGCCGUGGGUGGUGAGCAGGGCCACUCGCCUCAGGGGCAGGCGAGAAGAGCUUGCUACACACAGCCCUGCAGCAUGAACUGAACCAUCUGACCGGCACCCCAGGGGCCCCUCUGAACACUGCUGCCCUGCAGACCACGCCUUCCACACUGGACCUUUGGGAGACACUGCAGACUGCAGCUGGGACAAGCAGAGGAGGCACAGGCGAGGGGCCACUGCCACCAGCCCAGCCCGGUUCCCAGUGCAGACCAGUGAGUGGCCAGGGACAGCGAAUUGCGAUACUCCUGACCUGGAGAACAUACCGCUGGAGGGUCCUGGCUGCAGAAAAGGAAGUGUGGAGAGCAAGUGCUGCAUCACAUCGAGACGGCUUCUGUAUACAUUAUGGAAUUCAACUUCCCCGCCCCAUGUGCGGCAGUUGGAGAACCUAGGGAUGAGGUGACAAUGUCCUGCGGACUCCUGCAGCCUGGCAGACCCCUGAGAGCCUCCCUGCCCUCCCGGUCCUCCAGCGCUAGUCUCUACAGCCUCCAGGAGCGCGCCGCACCCCAUCCCUGUUCAUGGGCGAAUGUGCCCUGCAGGCUGGCACCAGAGCCACAGCUGGGGAUCAGGGUCGAGGGGAUGCCAGUGCUUUCGUUAUCCCUGCUGCCCCGGCCUCGGCACUCUGCAAUGGCCGCUGCCCUCCCCUCAGGGUUUUAAGGCACUUCUCCUCCUCCUCCUCCCUCCCCCGUCCCUCCUUCCCUCUCUUCUUCCUUAUUUCCUUCCUCCCUCUUUUCCUGAAAUAUUUCUCCACCUUAUCUCUCUGUCUCUUCUAAGGGAAAGGACUUCCUUCUGACUGCAUGGACUUGCAGGUCCUUCAGCUUGGGCAAGAUUUGCCAUUCACUUUGUCCCUUCCAGAAAUUCAUUACUUGGUUGAAGCUACCCCCUUGGUUUUUCAGUAUCAUACUGGGAUUUGUUUCCCUUAUUUUGAUAUUAUCUAGAGCAUUUAGAUUGGAUUUAUAAAGGGGAAUAUAUGUAUUCAGUUGGAAAAUAUUAAGGUGAAGUUUCCAGUUUAAAUUCCACCCUGAUUUGGUCUCUUUUGUCAGUGCAUAUUAAUGACACAGAACAGUGGGCUUUGGGUGGGGCCCAUGCACACCUGCGUCACACUUUGGUCCUGCCCACUUCCCCAGGCCUCCACUCCUCAGCCCUCCUUCCCACCCAUCUCCCUCCUUUGUGGUCUUCUAUUCUAAUGCGGUCUUUUUAUCCCAUGACUGCAGUCAGUCCUUGUCAGCAGCA